GACGAACGCUGGCGGCGUGCUUAACACAUGCAAGUCGAACGAUGAAACCUAGCUUGCUAGGUCGGUUAGUGGCGAACGGGUGAGUAACACCGGACUAACCUGCCCCUUUCUCUGGGAUAACGCUCCGUAAUGAGUGCUAAUACCGGAUACUCCCAUCGCGGCACAUGCCUUGAUGUGGUAAGUUUUUCGGAAAGGGAUGGAGUCGCGGCCUAUCAGCUUGUUGGUGCGGGAACGGCUCACCAAGGCGACGACGGGUAGCCGGCCUGAGAGGGCGACCGGACACACUGGGACUGAGACACGGACCAGACUCCUACGGGAGGCAGCAGUGGGGAAUAUUGCACAAUGGGCGCAAGCCUGAUGCAGCGACGCCGCGUGAGGGAUGAAGGUCUUCGGAUUGUAAACCUCUUUCAGUAGGUACGAAGAGAAAGUGACGGUACCUAAAGAAGAAGCACCGUCUAACUACGUGCCAGCCGCCGCUGUAA
rnacentral:rRNA from 1 species